CGAUUUUUUCUGUUGGCCUAGAUGUCUACCAAGCCACUGAGACAGCUGACUUCAUUCUGUUUGUAAAUGACUGGUUUAACAUUCCUCAACUCAACCACAAAGUAUUCAAAGAUGUCAAUUUUGACAUUUGAUAAAGUCUAAAAUCAGCUUUUGUUUGAUUUUGAAAUUGUUUGGUGAGAAGAGGUAUGUAAAAUACAGCUAAAAAAAUCAUUGAAUUCGUUUUGUGCGAAAGAGAGGAAAAUAGCUUUUUGCUCGUGACGUCUCUGUAUACCCUGUGACUCAACUUAGCACAUUUGUGUCACAAAGUAUACAGAGAUGUCACUUUUGACAUUUGAAAAAGUCUAAAAUCAGCUUUUGUUUGAUUUUGAAAUUGUUUGGUGAGAAGAGGUAUAUAAAAUACAGAUAAAAAAAUCAUUGAAUUCGUUUUGUGCGAAAGAGAGUGAAAUAGCUUUUUGCUCGUGACUUCUCUGUAUACCCUGUGUUUGUGUAUCCGGGAAAGGAACCAAUUGGUCAUGUAUUGGGAACACAACUUGAAAAAUUGGACCAAAUUAACAAAAUUAUAUCGCUUCCCGUAGUACCCAACAAAAAAGCCUUGAACCUCUCCAAAAAGGUAUACUUACAACUAACAAAGCAUUUGUUAUGCUUCACGAAUAUGUUGAGGAAAGGUUCAAGAUGACUUACAUGUGCACAAGUGUGUUGGAACACUUCUGUGGUGCACUUCGCAGCAAAGGGAGUUUGAAUGAUCAUCCCUCCCCAAAAGAUUUUAAAUAUAGGAUGAGGAAAUACAUCUUGGCCAGAAAUACUGAGCAUCUUAGUGGUACCGGUAACGUGGGUUACGACACAACGGAAUGGCUCAGCGCUUAAGAUUCUCAAGAAUCUUUUAUUAAAAGUGGAUUAAAAAUUCAGAACGACCCAGUUAAAAUGGACGAAAUUUUGGAAGAACCCCAAACAAAUGCACUUGACGACUUAUGUGGAUCGAAUUUUGAUAUGGGUACUCUCCAAGUAUAUGCUUUGGAAUAUAUAGCUGGCUACAUUAUUAGAAGCAUCAGCGUUGACCUUCCGCCACAUAUUAAAGAGUUUUUCUUUAAAUGUCGGAUAUAUUUCCGAAUUCGCCAUUUAAAUCAACGGCUUAAAAAACAAAAACUUAAGCAGAAGAAAAUCAGCAAAAAGAUGCUUAAAAUAAAGCUUUAAUAAUUCAAAUUAUCGUACCCCUUUCCCACAUAAUAACGUUUCCCAACCGUGUAAAAGUAACAGUAAUUCCCACCACCCAUCAUACUUUAUUGGAUUACUGUUGUUGCUGAAAGGUUUGCAUUUUGCAACCCACGUAACAAGUCCACUUUUUCUAGAAAUUAAGAUUUCUA